rnacentral:misc_RNA from 1 species
GCAAACUUGGUCAUUUAGAGGAAGUAAAAGUCGUAACAAGGUUUCCGUAGGUGAACCUGCGGAAGGAUCAUUACAAAUCUUUUGCGAGUGCUGCCUAGCGUAGUAUCUCACAACAUUAGCACAAGGUCGCAAGGCCUUGAUGUUUACGCUUGUAUGUUUGACAGAGUUAGUUGAGACAAUAAUAAAGACAACUUUUAACAAUGGAUCUCUUGGCUCUUUAGAGGAAGUAAAAGUCGUAACAAGGUUUCCGUAGGUGAACCUGCGGAAGGAUCAUUACAAAUCUUUUGCGAGUGCUGCCUAGCGUAGUAUCUCACAACAUUAGCACAAGGUCGCAAGGCCUUGAUGUUUACGCUUGUAUGUUUGACAGAGUUAGUUGAGACAAUAAUAAAGACAACUUUUAACAAUGGAUCUCUUGGCUCUUGCAUCGAUGAAGAACGCAGC